AUUGAACGCUGGCGGCAGGCCUAACACAUGCAAGUCGAGCGGAUGAAGGGAGCUUGCUCCUGGAUUCAGCGGCGGACGGGUGAGUAAUGCCUAGGAAUCUGCCUGGUAGUGGGGGAUAACGUCCGGAAACGGGCGCUAAUACCGCAUACGUCCUGAGGGAGAAAGUGGAGGAUCUUCGGACCUCACGCUAUCAGAUGAGCCUAGGUCGGAUUAGCUAGUUGGUGGGGUAAAGGCCUACCAAGGCGACGAUCCGUAACUGGUCUGAGAGGAUGAUCAGUCACACUGGAACUGAGACACGGUCCAGACUCCUAAGGGAGGCAGCAGUGGGGAAUAUUGGACAAUGGGCGAAAGCCUGAUCCAGCCAUGCCGCGUGUGUGAAGAAGGUCUUCGGAUUGUAAAGCACUUUAAGUUGGGAGGAAGGGCAGUAAGUUAAUACCUUGCUGUUUUGACGUUACCAACAGAAUAAGCACCGGCUAACUUCGUG
rnacentral:rRNA from 1 species